UACGGAGGGUGCGAGCGUUGUCCGGAAUCACUGGGCGUAAAGGGCGCGUAGGUGGCGCGGGAAGUCAACGGUGAAAGUUCGGGGCUCAACCCUGAAUCGGCCGUCGAUACUCCCGGGCUCGAGCACUGUAGAGGCAGAUGGAAUUCCGGGUGUAGCGGUGGAAUGCGUAGAGAUCCGGAAGAACACCGGUGGCGAAGGCGGUCUGCUGGGCAGUGCUGACACUGACGGCGCGACAGCGUGGGGAGCAAACAGGG
rnacentral:rRNA from 1 species